GCCCGAGCGCGACCACCAAGGACUGUACUGCCCAUGGAGGGGAGAACUCGCCAUCCAGGGAAAGCUGCUGUGCAACAUCACCCUGAGGACCCCCUACAGCUCCUCCCUCCCAGCCCAGCUGCCUCCCAGGCUGGACAUCAGCCACGUCAUGGGAUUGUCCGACCUGAGGAAAAAACUGCCGGAAGCUGCCUUUGGGAAAAGGAAUUACACCGGGAAUGAGG